CCUACGGGUGGCUGCAGUGGGGAAUAUUGCACAAUGGGGGAAACCCUGAUGCAGCGACGCCGCGUGAGUGAAGAAGUAUUUCGGUACGUAAAGCUCUAUCCGCAGGGAAGAAAAUGACGGUACCUGACCAAGAAGCCCCGGCUAACUACGUGCCAGCAGCCGCGGUAAUACGUAGGGGGCAAGCGUUAUCCGGAUUUACUGGGUGUAAAGGGAGCGUAGACGGCAGCGCAAGUCUGGAGUGAAAUGCCGGGGCCCAACCCCGGAACUGCUUUGGAAACUGUGCAGCUGGAGUGCAGGAGAGGUAAGCGGAAUUCCUAGUGUAGCGGUGAAAUGCGUAGAUAUUAGGAGGAACACCAGUGGCGAAGGCGGCUUACUGGACUGUAACUGACGUUGAGGCCCGAAAGCGUGGGGAGCAAACAGGAUUAGAUACCCCAGUAGUC
rnacentral:rRNA from 1 species